GACGAACGCUGGCGGCGUGCCUAAUACAUGCAAGUCGAGCGAAGCGGCGGAUGGGUGAGUAACGCGUGGGUAACCUGCCCUUAAGUCUGGGAUACCAUUUGGACACAGAUGCUAAUAACGGAUACUCACGGAUGGACCGUCGAUGAAUUAGCGAGUUGGUAAGGUAACGGCUUACCAGGGCGAUGAUGCAUAGCCGAGUUGAGAGACUGAUAGGCCAAAUGGGAACUGAGACACGGCCCAAGCGCCUACGGGAGGCAGCAGUAGGGAAUCUUCCACAAUGGACGAAAGUCUGAUGGAGCAACGCCGCGUGAGUGAAGAAGGUUUUCGGAUCGUAAAGCUCUGUUGUUGGUGAAGCGGUAAUCAACCAGAAAGUCACGGCUAACUACGUGCCAGCAGCCGCGGUAAUAC
rnacentral:rRNA from 1 species